rnacentral:rRNA from 1 species
AAGUCGAACGCUUCUUUCCUCCCGAGUGCUUGCACUCAAUUGGAAAGAGGAGUGGCGGACGGGUGAGUAACACGUGGGUAACCUACCCAUCAGAGGGGGAUAACACUUGGAAACAGGUGCUAAUACCGCAUAACAGUUUAUGCCGCAUGGCAUAAGAGUGAAAGGUGCUUUCGGGUGUCGCUGAUGGAUGGACCCGCGGUGCAUUAGCUAGUUGGUGAGGUAACGGCUCACCAAGGCCACGAUGCAUAGCCGACCUGAGAGGGUGAUCGGCCACACUGGGACUGAGACACGGCCCAGACUCCUACGGGAGGCAGCAGUAGGGAAUCUUCGGCAAUGGACGAAAGUCUGACCGAGCAACGCCGCGUGAGUGAAGAAGGUUUUCGGAUCGUAAAACUCUGUUGUUAGAGAAGAACAAGGACGUUAGUAACUGAACGUCCCCUGACGGUAUCUAACCAGAAAGCCACGGCUAACUACGUGCCAGCAGCCGCGGUAAUACGUAGGUGGCAAGCGUUGUCCGGAUUUAUUGGGCGUAAAGCGAGCGCAGGCGGUUUCUUAAGUCUGAUGUGAAAGCCCCCGGCUCAACCGGGGAGGGUCAUUGGAAACUGGGAGACUUGAGUGCAGAAGAGGAGAGUGGAAUUCCAUGUGUAGCGGUGAAAUGCGUAGAUAUAUGGAGGAACACCAGUGGCGAAGGCGGCUCUCUGGU